CUGAGUUCUGGUUGAUGGAAAUCAAGAAGGGGGGAAAAAAACAUUGCUGGAAAGGUCACCAGGCACUGUGGUGGCAUGGAAAGAUGUUCUCCUGAGGUCUCCCUACCUCCACAAUCCCUUUUGUUGGAAUGCAUGAAGUAGCCAUCUUCACACAGGCAACGGAAGCUCCCAGGGAAAUUGGAACAGCGCUGGCUGCAGCCUCCAUUGAAGUCUUCACAUUCAUUUAUGUCUAUAAAGAAAAGGGAAUCAAACUCUCUGCUGACAGGAGGGCAUCAACUGACCAGCUGCAAAUACUAUUCAACAGUAGAAAUGUAGUUGUGCUUCUGAGAACCAGCAUGCCAUGAAAUUGAAGACUGUACCUUCCUCACAGUUCUCUCCUCUCCACCCUGCUUUACAGACACAGGUCUUGAAAUAGGAAAAGUCUUGAUGUAUAACAUGAAGCAUCCCCACAACAAUCUUGCAACUCAUUCUGUCAGCAAAAAUUUUUAAGUGAGUGAGAACAUACAAAGCCACCAGUACUUCUUCUUUUUCAGGCAGAAAAUAACUAGAAGACAAAUUACUUGUUAAGAACAGUGAAGACCAAGACAAAGGUGAGAGUGCUAUCCUGGGAAUAUCAAGGCAGACCAUCUAUAAAUACAUCCACAUUUUACAAGUGACUUUUAACAAGUGGUGACCAUUGAGAAGUGACACUAAAAAUGAAAAGAUGUCUGCUUCAAUGUUCUCUGCAGAGCACACAACACUCCAGGAACAGCCUCUAAAUUAGACUGCCUGGUUUCAUUUUUGGAAUAUAGCUUGUGAUCAAGAGAAAAAUGGAUGAGCACAGCUGGAAGAAGUCCAGCUGACUGGGUGAAAGAGUGCAGAUGACAGAUGUUGACUGGAGAGCACCACACUUUGCUUUCCUCAGCCUGUGCUCAACUUGACCUGUCAGAGCUGCCCAGCUGUGUGCGGGCUGACACCUGCAGCGCACACCAGCUCUGGUGGCCGUGCAUAUUCAUCCCAGCGCCACAGAAAUGAGCCACUCAAGCACACACAGUCCAUCCAGCACUGCCUGUGACAAUUCCUCAAAACCAGAGGAAUAACCAAGUGCCAGAGAAGAGCUCCCAGCUUCGCUGCACUAACAGGAAAGAAAAAACUCAAAGAAGCUGACUAGAAAGAGCAGCUAAUGAGGCCCAGAGCAUCAGAGGAGACAGAUUUAACAUUUAACUAAAACCACAGCAUCCCAAACACAUUAAAGGCCUCUACUGAGUGACAGGGAACAUUCUGAAGCGCUUCAACGUUGGGCAAUGACCUGAAGAAACCUUUGUGUUACAGCCUCCUGAGUGAAUCUGACAUGGGCUGAGCUUGUAACUACAAACUAAUCUAUUUGCUUUCAUUCUGGUAAAACUAAUCAUCCUGGUAAGGCUGUAAAUAAGAUUUCCUGAGCAUAAGGUGGAGGUACAGCUCACCUCCAAGGUUUUACAGCACACCUCUACCUCAGAGAGAAACAAACAAGAUGCUUAGAAAUGAAAUAAGUUCAAUUAAUUAGACUAAAUGCUUUAUUUCUCACUGAUAAAAAAGAUGCAGAAAGACCAUGUGUCCUGAGGCAAAAGGAGUGACAACAGAAAUAGGAGAAUUGUGUAUUAUAGCUGCUGGGUUUAUUUCCAUGGGAGAUCUCUACCCCCCACAAAGAUGUUGACCUUUAGCUACAUCAUUGUCAUUUUCACACAGUUUUACAGUAAAUAAAAGACAAGAAAUUUUCAGUUGUGUACAAACAGAUGUAACACUUUCUACUUCAUGUUUUCAGUACAGUGGAGCAAUGGGAACAAGUAUUUUUCCCUACAUCAGAGCAGUUCAUCCUUCUCCCAAGCUGAUUUCCUGUAACUUCUGACUUUAAAUAAAACACGUAACUCAGAGCAAAUUCCAUGUUUUUUCAGUGCAAAUAUUUCAAUCCCCAUGCACAGAAUUAGCAGUGUAUUUAUUCAUGUGUGUUUUCAUUACAAAGAUUAUGAUAGGACCUUUAUUAAAAACAAAAAAUCCUGACUGCUGCCAGUCUGAUUACAGGAAACUCCAGCCCCUUUCUGACCCUGCCAAACCAAGUUAACCCUUAAUGCACUCGGGCUGCUUCAUGCGGUGAUCACUGAAACCUUGUGCAACUCCAGAGCCUAACAAUUUCCAGAGGUGGUGCACAGCCACUGUGUAGUGAAUGCUUACCAAGCAUCUAAAAGUGAUGCUGCUAAAAAAGAAAAAAUAAAUUGUGGGAGAGGAUGAGAUUCAGUGGUUUCUUACAGCUGUUCUGUCAUGCAGAUGUCACCAUAAACCUGCUUAAAGUGGGCCACUUAAACAUAACUUAGAGCUGCUUACCUAAAACCUCAGCCAAGGAAAGCACUUGAAUAAAACUGAAUGAAAAUCUUGUUUGCACAGCUCUGUAAUUUCAGUGACAAGACUAUCCUGAAAAGCUCCUCAGUGACAUUGUGCAGCCAACAAAAUAAAAUUGGCCACUAAUAUUUACCUGCACCUUUUCCAAAAUAUGUCCCUGACCUGAUGUCUGACCAAACCCACCUGCACGGAGGCUUGCAGAGACAACUUUAUGGUUAUUGAACAGUAUGAGCUGCAUUUUUAA